rnacentral:pre_miRNA from 1 species
CCUUUGCUGGUGUGAGAGACUGAAGCUGCCAGCAUGAUCUGCUCAUCCAGCAUGCGCCGAAACCGCGUUCGGUUGCGCGGGGUUAUCUUGGAAUUUUUGCUCCAUCAGAUCAUGCUGCAGCUUCAUUUUCUCACGGCCACCAACAGA